GAUUCCUUUCUAUCUGAGGUCUUCUAAAGUUAAAGGAAUUUCCAGUACUUCAGGUCCAAGAUAUUAGCAGUAGUGGAGAAAAAUGCAUGGCAUCAGAACAGCACCAAUAGGUACUUUAAACCUGUCAGAUUAGCCAGGA